GACGAACGCUGGCGGCGUGCCUAAUACAUGCAAGUAGAACGCUGAAGGAGGAGCUUGCUCUUCUGGAUGAGUUGCGAACGGGUGAGUAACGCGUAGGUAACCUGCCUGGUAGCGGGGGAUAACUAUUGGAAACGAUAGCUAAUACCGCAUAAAAUUGAUUAUUGCAUGAUAGUCAAUUAAAUGGUGCAAUUGCAUCACUACCAGAUGGACCUGCGUUGUAUUAGCUAGUUGGUGAGGUAACGGCUCACCAAGGCAACGAUACAUAGCCGACCUGAGAGGGUGAUCGGCCACACUGGGACUGAGACACGGCCCAGACUCCUACGGGAGGCAGCAGUAGGGAAUCUUCGGCAAUGGACGGAAGUCUGACCGAGCAACGCCGCGUGAGUGAAGAAGGUUUUCGGAUCGUAAAGCUCUGUUGUAAGAGAAGAACGAGUGUGAGAGUGGAAAGUUCACACUGUGACGGUAUCUUACCAGAAAGGGACGGCUAACUACGUG
rnacentral:rRNA from 1 species